UUUUAGCCCCGAUAGAAGCGGCAUCCUUUGGGGCGACGUGAGGCGACGGAGCGUAGCGGAGUCGUCCGAGCGGCGCACAAAAGAUAGAGCGGAUAGCGGGAAAAGCU
rnacentral:sRNA from 1 species